AAAUUCAAUUGUGUAACAAAUGGGACUUGCUUUUUGGGGCAGUAAANAGUACUUCAUUACAGUUAUUUACAUAGAAAACUACACAUCACCAAAAAAAAAAAAUUCAAGUGAUACCUGAAGGAGGUCUUGAGGAGGAGAGCAAAAGAUUGUAGGCUGUAGUUUACAGUGCUCUGUGUUGGACCGGCUUUAUUGUCCAAGAAAAAUGCUAGCCGUUUUCUGAAUAUCCAUCUAGAAAUUCGUAAUAUUUUUUAUCCCAAGGAGAAAUACGAUUGUAGGAGUCACAUCAGAUCUUCUGCAGAGCACGUCCAUUUUUAAGUAUCUUCCUUCAGCUGUACCUUUUGCAUUCGUUUUUUUAUUACUUCUUGUAGAUCUGCAUAAAAUACUUUGAUUUCCUAUGUCCAGUUGGCUAUCAGUUGGCAUAUAAGGAAUGCGUUGUGCAAUGUUAAGUUAGAAUUUCUACCUUUAAAUGUCUAUUUUUAAGUAAUGUUUGUGAUGUAUUCAUUCAUUUGGGUCAUUGUGUCUGACCCUUCCAGCACGCAGUUUUGCUUGGCAACCUGUUUCAAACACUUCCAGACUUAACUUGAUGCUUUUCUAAACAUUCUUAUUGUGUUUGAAUGUCUGCCUAUCAUCCAGUGAAGUUUCAAGUACAGUUCAGAGCUAAUGAAAGAAGUAAAAACUGCUGGCAAUACACAAUAGAACCCCAUCUGUAGUAAAACUGUAGUUUCCAGGGGUAUGGAUAAAGCUAUAUGAAGGAUGUCAAAGCUCUGAGACCUAGCAGGUGAGACAGUGUAGGCUCAAGAAUUAGGGAGACUUGUUGAAAGGAAAUGAGGUAAGAAGGCAUUGGUAGCGAGACAUAAGUUUAGCAGUGCAAGUCUUCAUAUUCUAAUCAUGAUUGCAUGUAUUUAAUGAUUUAGUACUUCUACUUAACUCCUAAAUAGAUUCAAAAGAUGCCAAAGAUAAUAAGGAAGCAGCUCCUGGGAGUGAGGACUUGGAGCUGGAGCUGGAGAACCUGGAUAUUAAUGAUGAUCCGCUGGAACUGGACUGUGGAGAUGAAGCGGAAGAUCUUACAAAAAAGCUUCUUGAUGAACAAGGCAAGAGAGAGGGAGCAGAUAGCACCGGAGCUGACAGUAGUGACGGAAAACAAGCUGAAAGAAGUGAGUUUUCAGGCUGUUUUUAAAAGAGAAGAGAAAAUGGGGGAAAAAUGGAGCUGCGUGAAUGGAGACAAAGAUGUUGAGAGAGGAAUGGCUAGGGUGGAAGCCAACAAGGAUAUUGGGAGCAGGGGGAGUCUGAUGUUAACAUAUAUCUAGCAUCAUUUUUGUGCGGUUUGUCAGCAAUGGAAAGAACGUGUAGAAGAUGAGUGUUAACACUCCACGAUGUUACUUGCUUAUGCUAUUUAGAGAGCUAGUAAAGCUCCUAGUAGAAGAGCAGAAAUAUGUGCAUCCACACUCAUUAAAGUGUUUUGUGGAAUUGAAUGACUUGAGUCUACAGUCUGAAUACAUUCUUCAGUGAGGCCUUGAUUCAGCAGGAAUGUUGAACGUUAUGCUUAUAUCUGUGUGUUCUCCGGAGAGGGAGGGCCAGCAAUUUGUAUUGGUUCAUAUCAGCUGAAUGUGAUUGCUUCCUUAUGAUCAUACUUGUUACAGAUGUUCAUCUCACAGAGGGGUCGCACUGUGCAAACAUUUCAGUAAUUCACACUGGAUGAUACUACACAGAACAGACAAAACUUUCUGGCAGAAUGGAGUUUUUAGAUGCAGACACUCUUGGGGUUAUAGCUUUGUACAAUUAAAUUGUUUGUUAUCAGGGAGCCAGAGCUUCCUCAGGAGGUGUGUGUGUGGGGAGAGGGGAAGGCAAAUAACUGUUGAUACUGAAAUAGAUGAUUGCUUAGCACCAGCCAUCGCAGGAGAAGGACUUCAACAAUUCUGCAGUGUCUUCUCAUAAUGGGUUAGUUCUGGUCCCUGAAAAUUGCAGGAUUGCAUGAAAAUUUGAUUAAAUGCAAAGGUGUUUCAAAGUGUUUUUUUUAAAUCUCUACAAUGAUCUUGCUAUGUGAUUUAAUCUGCACCCAGAUAAACUAUUAAAAAUACCCUAACGCGAAUUGUCACACAUUGCUGUGAUCACAUUUCCUUUGAUUUCUUUUAAAGAAUUAAUGCAAUUUUGAAACGUGAAGGUGAGAAUGCAACUCAAGAGGAUCAAAAGGAGAAGCAAGAGCUGAAGUUUUUUUUGUUUUUGCUUUAAUUGCACAGUUAAUAUAGUUGCUUACCUCAGAGAAAGAAGCCCUAACCUUUUCAUUUCCUGCCACUGUCAAAUUCUUGAUUUCUCCAGUCUUAAGUCACAAAUAUAUUUCAGGUAUUACAGAAGAUCCUUUUCACUUAUAAAGGGUAUUUACUGCAAGGAGAAAGAAAUAUAGAAAUACAAUGUAAGAAUACUUGCAGUCUUCCAGUGGGAGAGAGGACUAGUGAAAGAGGAGGUAUAAUUGGGAAGUGUGGAAAUGGAAUGUGAUAGUAAGGGCCUUCUGAAGGAUUGCCUUCAGAAGUGACUGAAUUGGUUAAGAUUUGGUUUUUAUUUUAUUUCAACAGCAGGGUCAGUUUGAGCAGAAAAUAGAAAUGAGGCAACAAACAGCACUAGGAGAGGGAAGAUAAAAGAGCAUUUGAAGGAGACAGGAAGGAAUAUUCUGUAAAUAUCUAGAUGGAAAAAUGUUUUUUUCUAAAUUGCUAGUAGAAGUUGAGUAUGUGAGUAAUGAGAGAGUCAGUGCUUUAUUCAGUAUUUAAAACCUCGAGGUCCUCUUGGCUGAGCAGCUGGAACUUCUUUUUUCCUUCUUUCUUAGUGAACCCUUCUGUCUUGUUCUUCCAAUUUCUAAUUGCCUGAGGAAGAGAAGAGACAAUGUCAUCAGCUUCCUUCUCUAGCAUUGUGGAGACAGGGUUGCUGGCAGUGUUUCUUGGAGCAAUUCCUACCGUUUCUUUACUUAAGUUAGACUUCUGUACAUCUCCAGAACAAAGAACAAAGUCCUCUGACAUAAGCAGAGAGAAAUAAAAAAUGCUUUCAGUAACUUGAAAAGAAACGUUAGUCUUAAUAUUUAGGCUGUAAUGACAACGAAUUUUGGGUACUUUUUAGUGUUUUUCAGGAGCGAUUUUCUCACUUACCCAUAUUUUUGCUUUUUGAAGUCUGCCUGUCUGUGUUUUGCUUUCGGAUACCUCUUAAUUAUUGCUGAAUGUCCUUAAGCUGAAAGGAAACAAAAAUUCACCGUAUUCCCUGUUUUAGAAAGCAGUGUUCUUUUGCACUGCUUUGGCCAAGGAGGCGUUCUUCCAAAUGUUUGUUUCUACUCAUUGUUUUGGCUCAUGUGCUGACAAACAAGCCAGACUCUUCUCAGUUAAACCUGGAUAUCUGGAUUUUAACUUUUUUUCUUCUUCAUACCCCUUGUUUUGCAGUUAAGGUGUAGCUGUAGCGGAAUUGGUUUGAAGUCUUCACAGCUGAUGCCAGAAAAAUCUGAAUUUCAGUGGUAGCGUCCUUUAUUUCAGUAAUGUUACUGACUCAGCCAGUAAAUACAGGUCAUUGUCUAUGCUUACUGUUGCAAAACACACAGACGAUUGCUUGAGAAAACAAGUUGCUACUUGCCCUGCAAUUGCUGUGUGCUCAAACCUCCAUCCUUUUCACAGUGGUUCCUUCCUUCAGUUUCUGUACGGGUUAAGGAUUGAUGCUGGCCUGCUUUAGCUUUUUGGCACCUUAAGUGGCCUCACUGGGCAUUCUUGUGCAAAAAAAAGUUCUACUUCUCACAUAGAGCAAACUUUACAUAGAGUAGAAUCUGCAGUUGCCAUGUUUUUACCGUACUGUUUUCUCCCAUGUUUGGGCCUUCUUGUGGCUCUUGUUUUAUUGCCUAAACAAUUUACCACAGUCUUCUAGGAAUGUGCAUUUGUUGUUGCUCCCAACAGUAUAAAUCAGGAGAUAGGGAACUCUUGAUUUUAUUAAUUCAUUAAUAGGAAGAUAAGUUUUAGAGGUGAUACUUUGGACCUUUGCUGGCAUAGACUAUCAAUGGAUUUUUUUAAUUAAUUUGUGUUCAUAUUUCUUUUUUUUGAANUAGAGCACAGGGAAGGAAUAUUUCUUGUGACAUGCUAGUUCUUUAAUUCCUGGCAAUUGCAGCCUUUUGUCUUCUGGUACAGAGCUACUUAGAAGUUUGCUUAGGGAAAGCAAACAGGAGGUUGUGUGAGUUCUUCGCUCUAUGAAUUCGUUCCUGUAGAACUUUCCUACCUUUUAUUUUCCUGUUUUUGUAUAAGAUAGACAUCUGCAGUUGCAGGAAGAGCCUUCCUUACAGAAAUGAUUGCAAGCUUGGAGAUAGAAUUGAUAAAUUCAUUAGAAUGUUUCUUUUCCUUAUGGUAAACUUGUACCUUUAAUAGAUGCAACUUAAGUGCAAUUAUGGAGGAGUUGCUUUUCUUGCUCCUCCUUGCCCUAUUUUUCCUCAGAGGCUGUUUUGAUGCUCCUUCUAGCUCCAACUGUUUCAUCACCAUCUUGGAUUUCCUGUUAGAUUUCACACUGCUUUGAUUCCAUUCCUUUUUAACACUGUGAGGCAAAAAACAGAGUGCUCCUUCAUCAUCUUACCA
rnacentral:lncRNA from 1 species